rnacentral:rRNA from 1 species
UACGAGGGGGGGCGAGCGUUGUUCGGAAUUAUUGGGCGUAAAGGGUGCGUAGGCGGUUUGGUAAGUCUGAUGUGAAAUCUAUGGGCUCAACUCAUAGUCUGCAUCGGAAACUGCCGGGCUUGAGUGUGGGGAGAGGUGAGUGGAAUUCCUGGUGUAGCGGUGAAAUGCGUAGAUAUCAGGAGGAACACCUGUGGCGAAAGCGGCUCACUGGACCAUAACUGACGCUGAUGCACGAAAGCUAGGGGAGCAAACAGG